rnacentral:rRNA from 1 species
UGGGGAAUAUUGGACAAUGGGCGCAAGCCUGAUCCAGCCAUGCCGCGUGAGUGACGAAGGCCUUAGGGUUGUAAAGCUCUUUUGGCGGGGAAGAUAAUGACGGUACCCGCAGAAUAAGCUCCGGCUAACUUCGUGCCAGCAGCCGCGGUAAUACGAAGGGAGCUAGCGUUGUUCGGAAUCACUGGGCGUAAAGCGCACGUAGGUGGGCAGUUAAGUCAGGGGUGAAAGCCCGAGGCUCAACCUCGGAAUUGCCUCUGAUACUGGCUGUCUAGAGUUCGAGAGAGGUGAGUGGAAUUCCUAGUGUAGAGGUGAAAUUCGUAGAUAUUAGGAAGAACACCGGUGGCGAAGGCGGCUCACUGGCUCGAUACUGACACUGAGGUGCGAAAGCGUGGGGAGCAAACAGGAUUAGAUACCCAAGUAGUCCCUGAGCGGGCUGGCAAGGCGCAU